GGAGGCAGCAGUGGGGAAUAUUGGGCAAUGGAGGAAACUCUGACCCAGCAACGCCGCGUGGAGGAAGAAGGUUUUCGGAUCGUAAACUCCUGUCCUUGGAGACGAGUAGAAGACGGUAUCCAAGGAGGAAGCCCCGGCUAACUACGUGCCAGCAGCCGCGGUAAUACGUAGGGGGCAAGCGUUGUCCGGAAUAAUUGGGCGUAAAGGGCGCGUAGGCGGCUCGGUAAGUCUGGAGUGAAAGUCCUGCUUUUAAGGUGGGAAUUGCUUUGGAUACUGUCGGGCUUGAGUGCAGGAGAGGUUAGUGGAAUUCCCAGUGUAGCGGUGAAAUGCGUAGAGAUUGGGAGGAACACCAGUGGCGAAGGCGACUAACUGGACUGUAACUGACGCUGAGGCGCGAAAGUGUGGGGAGCAAACAGGAUUAGAUACCCUGGUAGUCCACACUGUAAACGAUGAAUGCUAGGUGUAGGGGGUAUCGACCCCUUCUGUGCCGCAGUCAACACAAUAAGCAUUCCGCCUGGGGAGUACGGCCGCAAGGUUGAAACUCAAAGGAAUUGACGGGGGCCCGCACAAGCAGCGGAGCAUGUGGUUUAAUUCGACGCAACGCGAAGAACCUUACCAGGUCUUGACAUCCACUUAAACUUACAGAGAUGUAAGGUGUGCUUGCACAAAGUGAGACAGGUGGUGCAUGGUUGUCGUCAGCUCGUGUCGUGAGAUGUUGGGUUAAGUCCCGCAACGAGCGCAACCCUUAUCUUCAGUUACUAACGCGUGAGGGUGAGGACUCUGAAGAGACUGCCGGGGACAACUCGGAGGAAGGUGGGGACGACGUCAAAUCAUCAUGCCCCUUAUGACCUGGGCUACACACGUGCUACAAUGGCCACGACAGAGAGAAGCGAAAUCGCAAGGUAGAGCGGAACUCAAAAAAGUGGUCCCAGUUCG
rnacentral:rRNA from 1 species